rnacentral:rRNA from 1 species
CUCGUAGGCGGCUUCGUAAGUCAGAGGUGAAAUCUGAUGGCUCAACCAUCAACCCGCCUUUGAAACUACAAAGCUUGAGUUCAUGAGAGGAAAGUGGAAUUCCUGGUGUAGCGGUGAAAUGCGUAGAUAUCAGGAGGAACACCAGUGGCGAAGGCGGCUUUCUGGCAUGAAACUGACGCUGAGGAGCGAAAGCCAGGGGAGCGAACG